CCUCGUCACCUUUCAAUUUAGGAACCCAAGGCUCAUCCAUAAAAAAAUAGCAUCAUCGUGACUCCUCUCCAGGCAUAUCAGAAGGACACUGGGUUGCUCAAAAACCCCAAAUCCGCCGACUGCACCAAGUUUUAGUGUGGCGGGCGCAGACCGAUACACCAGACAAACAAAGCCACUUAACUGUCAGCUGAUGCCCGUGGUCCGUCAUCGGUGGUUUUCUCAGCUUGCCGCUGUGUUUAGGAUUUGCAUGAUUUACACACCGCCUCUGAUCCUUUGCAGUGUAUCCUGCUGCUGCUGCCACUGUGCUACCUUCUGCCUCGUGUCUUGUUGCUCCCGUCCUGCUAUUACUGUUCCUUUAGCUGCUGCUUCCCCUUCCUUUUUCAAUGCUCUCCUCUUUUUAUCCCUGGUCCUAGAUUGAAAAACUGCCUGUUGUCCAAUUGCCAAUGGCACCCCAGCUGUCUCACAUUAUUACUGCUGCUGUUAUCAAACUCAGAAGAAAACAAAACACCCUGUGCGCAAACGAAAAAUAAAUAAAUAAUAUAAACCAAACAAUACUUUUAAAAGAAAUCGUGGAAGCACAAGAAAAUAAAUAAAUAAAAGUGAACAGUCAAACAGAUUAAGCGGAACAAACAAACUAAUAAUAAUAACAAACACAAAUCAGACACACAGCCAUUAGUCACUUCUGUGACAGUCUUCCCACUUUAUAUUACUUUAAUUUUUUAGUAACUGAUCUAAAAACCUUGUAGCAGGUGAGACCUUUUUCCUAUUUGUUUUUAAUUAAGUAAUAAUUUAAUUAACGCUGCACUGUUCUGAACAAUCUGCGCACCUGUAUAUAAAGAGCUUGAUUCACAUGAUGAAUCAAGAUUGUUUGCUGUGGUUGCUUCGUUUGGGGUCUCCCUGCUGCUAUUUGAUGGGUGAACAGGGAAACGAGACGAUUGAUCAGUCCGGUUCACCCGAGGUGUCAGUGGCAUAUGGGAGAGGCUGCCCUGGCUUCAUUGUGCUUUAUCAACCCAUCCUUUGAACCUACCAUAGCAUAUAACUGCUGUUA